rnacentral:rRNA from 1 species
GACGAACGCUGGCGGCGUGCUUAACACAUGCAAGUCGAACGGAAAGGCCCUGCUUUUGUGGGGUGCUCGAGUGGCGAACGGGUAAGUAACACGUGAGUAACCUGCCCUUGACUUUGGGAUAACUUCAGGAAGCUGGGGCUAAUACCGGAUAGGAGCUCCUGCUGCAUGGUGGGGGUUGGAAAGUUUCGGCGGUUGGGGAUGGACUCGCGGCUUAUCAGCUUGUUGGUGGGGUAGUGGCUUACCAAGGCUUUGACGGGUAGCCGGCCUGAGAGGGUGACCGGCCACAUUGGGACUGAGAUACGGCCCAGACUCCUACGGGAGGCAGCAGUGGGGAAUAUUGCACAAUGGGCGGAAGCCUGAUGCAGCAACGCCGCGUGCGGGAUGACGGCCUUCGGGUUGUAAACCGCUUUCGCCUGUGACGAAGCGUGAGUGACGGUAAUGGGUAAAGAAGCACCGGCUAACUACGUG